AGGAUAAGAAUACUCAUAGCAUUAGACUUUCGUCUAUUAAAUUAAAAUCUAGUUUAGAAACAGACGAUUGAAAGUAAGUUGUAAGGCUUUAUGUAAAUAUUGGAGUCCCUUUCCAAAAUAAAUUACACUGACAUUUGGUUAGAUAUUUUUAUUUCCAAGUUUGUAGGCAAUGCCAACCUUAGGAGAACGUAUAGUCAUUAUUAAGAAACAAUUGGUAUAUUCAUUAAAAAAAAUAUUGAGUAAUAUUUAAAAUGAUUAGAGGAGAAUGUAAAAUUAUUGGAGUUUGUUGUAGUAUUUAGAGCAUAGAGGGUGCACCGUUGAAAUUUGAAAUUUGAAAAAAUGUCUCCAUCAUUACAAAAAUAAAUUAAACUUAGCAGGGUAUGAUAUUUAAGUGCUUCUAGCUUGUAGGUAAUUGUUCAGGAAUGCUAUUGUGAUAAUAAACUCGCUAAUACGAAUAUAACCAAAUCGUUAUACGGAAACAAACUUCACGUGCACCUUCAUUUAACUGUUGUAAUCACUUUCACACGUGAAUUAUUGUAACUUUUGUUACGCUUUCUUGUUUACGUCAUUCAAAAAUGUUUUAUUUUCAAUAGAUAUCACAUAAAUAAUCCUUACAGUGCAUGAGAAAUAAAACCCAAAGGUUUUCGUAGCAUGAGCACAAAAUAACACGGGUAUAUGUUUUUAGAAAACAUGAAAUGCUUUGACAUGUGGAAUUUCUUUAUUUUUCGUGGUCGGUCCCUGUGCAUUGUUAGAUUAUCGCUUAACUAAUCGUUGAACAAGCUGUCACAAGAUGCACCGUGGUUCUUUUAGUCGUGUGUGGUUAUUUCUUGAUGUUUAAUGUAUUUUUCUUAUGUAGCGUCAUUUUAAUUUUCCAUUAGGUAGCUUAAGUGAAAGUGUUCCACAUCGCCGUAGCGUUUCCCGUAUACAUUUUCUAUGUCUAAUACCUUUGCACUUUAAUUAAAUUUACAGGAGCUAUGUCGUGUAUUUACUUGAGUAACGUAAUUGCCAACGCUUGUCCUGCAGAGCCCGUUAUGAUUCCGUGGUAACAUCGUAUCGAAACAAUGGCGGGAGGUCUUGAGUCCCGUAACUGGCAAUCGUGACUAAGAAAUACAUUUCGGACGUCACGUGGAUGGAUCCCCAAAUAGUCUCCAGAGUUUAUUAAGGCUUUUCAUCGUAAAUUUAAAGCUAAUUAAACUUGAAGAUGUUUUUUAUUAUGUUGGAGACGUCAGGCAGGCUUUUAAUGGCACGGAAUCGAUAGGCGAUAGAUUACAAAUUACACUCUAAGUAAAAUCUGUCAGGAGAUCAGGAGCGGAAUUUAGAAGAAAAUUAAAUAAGGCGCAUAAUUAGUUAUCUGAUCAAUAUAAUUGUUAAAAAGUUUUUUAAUUUUUGUAUGCAUGUAUCUUUGUAUGUACUCUUCAAGUCUGUGUUUAAUGGAAUCUUUUGAGUAAAAUUUAUCAAUUUGGUA